UUAGAACACCAAUUGCGAAGGCAGGUCAUAAAGUCUUAACUGACGCUGAUGGACGAAAGCGUGGGGAGCGAACAGGAUUAGAUACCCUGGUAGUCCACGCCGUAAACGAUGAUUACUCGUUUUUGGGUUUUAUGAUUCAGAGACUAAGCGAAAGUGAUAAGUAAUCCACCUGGGGAGUACGUUCGCAAGAAUGAAACUCAAAGGAAUUGACGGGGGCCCGCACAAGCGGUGGAGCAUGUGGUUUAAUUCGAUGAUACGCGAGGAACCUUACCAAGACUUAAAUGGGAAAUGACAGAUUUAGAAAUAGAUCCUUCUUCGGACAUUUUUCAAGGUGCUGCAUGGUUGUCGUCAGCUCGUGCCGUGAGGUGUUAGGUUAAGUCCUGCAACGAGCGCAACCCCUGUCACUAGUUGCUAACAUUAAGUUGAGGACUCUAGUGAGACUGCCUACGCGAGUAGAGGGGAAGGUGGGGAUGACGUCAAAUCAUCACGGCCCUUACGUCUUGGGCCACACACGUGCUACAAUGGCCGGUACAGAGGGCAGCUACCUAGCGAUAGGAUGCAAAUCUCGAAAGCCGGUCUCAGUUCGGAUUGGAGUCUGCAACUCGACUCUAUGAAGCUGGAAUCGCUAGUAAUCGCGCAUCAGCCAUGGCGCGGUGAAUACGUUCCCGGGCCUUGUACACACCGCCCGUCAAGCCAUGGAAGCUGGGGGUACCUGAAGUCGGUGACCGUAAAAGGAGCUGCCUAGG
rnacentral:rRNA from 1 species